rnacentral:rRNA from 1 species
GACGAACACUGGCGGCGUGCUUAACACAUGCAAGUCGAACGGAAAGGCCCUGCUUUUGUGGGGUGCUCGAGUGGCGAACGGGUGAGUAACACGUGAGUAACCUGCCCUUGACUUUGGGAUAACUUCAGGAAACUGGGGCUAAUACCGGAUAGGAGCUCCUGCUGCAUGGUGGGGGUUGGAAAGUUUCGGCGGUUGGGGAUGGACUCGCGGCUUAUCAGCUUGUUGGUGGGGUAGUGGCUUACCAAGGCUUUGACGGGUAGCCGGCCUGAGAGGGUGACCGGCCACAUUGGGACUGAGAUACGGCCCAGACUCCUACGGGAGGCAGCAGUGGGGAAUAUUGCACAAUGGGCGGAAGCCUGAUGCAGCAACGCCGCGUGCGGGAUGACGGCCUUCGGGUUGUAAACCGCUUUCGCCUGUGACGAAGCGUGAGUGACGGUAAUGGGUAAAGAAGCACCGGCUAAUUACGUG